rnacentral:rRNA from 1 species
UACGUAGGGGGCAAGCGUUAUCCGGAUUUACUGGGCGUAAAGGGCGCUAAGGCGGCUAGCUAAGUUGGUGGUGAAAUUUCAGGGCUUAACCCUGAAACUGCCUCCAAUACUGGUUAGCUAGAGUGCGAGAGAGGAAGGUGGAAUUCCCGGUGUAGUAGUGAAAUGCGUAGAUAUCGGGAGGAACACCAGUGGCGAAGGCGGCCUUCUGGCUCGCAACUGACGCUGUAACGCGAAAGCGUGGGGAGCGAACGGG